CACCAUGACCAAGGCAACACUUCUAAAAAGAAACAUUCAGUAGUGGCUGGGUAACAGUUUCAGGGGUUUAGUCCAUUAUAACAGGAAGCCUGGCAGCUGCAGGCAGACAUGGUGCUGAAGGAGCAGAGACUUCUACAUCUUGAUCCAAAGGCAGCCAGGAGGGGGCUCUCAUUCCACACUGGGCAGAGCAUGAGCAUAGAGACAUCAAAGCCCUUCCUCUCAGUGAUACACCAUUGUGGGUGGUGCCAUUCCUGGGCUGGUGGUCCUGGGUUCUAUAAGAAAGCAAGCUGAACAAACCAUGAAGAGCACGCCAUUAAGAAACAUCCAUCCAGGGCUGGAGCGAUGGCUCAGCGGUUAAGAGCACUGAUUGCUCUUCCAGAGGUCCUGAGUUCAAUCCCCAGUAACCACAUGGUGGCUCACAACCAUCUGUCAUGAGAUCCGAUGCCCUCUUCUGGUGUCUAAAGGCAGCAACAGUGUACUCACAUAAAAUGAAUAUUAAAAAAAAUAAAAAAUAAAUAAAUAAAAAAAAGAAAAGAAACAUCCCUCCAUGACCUCUGCAUAAGCUCCUGCUUCCUGACAGGCUUGAGUUCCAGUCCUGUCUUCCUUUGGUGAUGAACAGCACUGAAGUAAGCUGAAAAAAUCCUUUCCUCGCCGAUUUACUUCUUGGUCAUGGUGUUUGUGCAGGAAUAGGAACCCUGAAUAAGACAGGCAUUUUUCCAGUCCCAGAAUGUAGAAUUGGGAUAGAUCUACUUAGAGGUUGUCAGAAUUCUCACAUUGCUUCCAUGACCUGUGGCCUGAGGGAUAUCAUGUUUGGAAAGACUAAAUGGAAGCCUUUAGAGUUCCCUCAGACAAGGAAAAUAGUGAAUCAAAGACAGCAUCACACCUUUGUAGGAAUUUCAGGAAUCAGUGCCACCAUCAAUGGUCAAGUGUCAUUCUCCACUAUCAAAACCUCUUGCUGUGCACUGGACAGAUAGGAGAGUCGAAAGGAGAUAUGGUUGGAAAAACGUUGGAUUCUGGUCACAUGUGUAUGCUUCAGAGGUUGGGAAAUAAAUCCUAUGAAACAUUUGAGAUCCUUCUAAUUCAGUGAAAUUCAUGAAUUCAGUGGUUUGGGGCAGGCACAGACAUUCCAUCCAAGAAGAAGGAAAGGUUACUGACCUGGCCCCUCCUACCACCAAGAAAGGAGCACAGGGCUUAGUUUGUGUCUUUGGAUUCUGCAGACAGCACAUCCCUCACUUGGAUCUGUUACUCUGGCCCAUAAGCCUUCUGAAUCAGAGAGCUGCUAACUUCCUGUGGGUCCUGGGACAGGGGAAGACUCUUCAACAGGUCCCGGCUGUGGUUCAGGCUGUUUCAACAUCUUGGACCAUAUGAUCCAGCAGAGCUGAUGGUACUUGAGGUGUCAGUGACAGAGAAGGAUGUUGUUUUGAGGAUUUGGCGGCCUCCGUGAGUGAAUCACAGAAGAGAACUUUGGGACUUUGGAGCAAGGCUCCACCAUCAUGUGCACACAACUAUUCCCCCAUGAGAGACAGCUCUUGGCCUUGGUGCAACCUGAACAUUUGACAAUGGGCCACCAAGUUACCUGUGGGCCACAUGUGACCUGGGCUGCCUAUAAUGGGCUGGAUGUUAUCUGACCCACCAAGUCAUAAAAUAGGACACACAGAGCCCUAAGCUGUUAUCAUAUAGAAGUGGUAUAAACAUAAUCAGGACUGGACAGGUCCUACGGGCACAAGGAAGUUACAGGAAGACUUUGCCCAACUGCCUCCCGUCUCUAGUCCUGUUACAAUCUCAUCUGCAGCCAAGCAUGCACCUGCAGCCUCAUGAGCUGUGCCUUAUCCUUGCAAGACUGAGGAAGAAGAGACGAGGGCCUGUCUUGCUGAUGGCUGUGCAUGCUAUGCAGGCCCCACCAGACGUGGACAACUGCAGCAUUACCACCCCUUGCCAGGAGAACCCUGAAGGACACUUCUGGUGGGAAUCUUCACAGUGGGAGGAAGUUCAGGCCAUGCACAUGGUAAUGCCUUUCAUCUGGAUGGAGAAAUGGUCACAUGUGAGAUUGUUCUCUAAUUCAUGGGCUGUGGCCAGUGGAUUGGCUGGAUGGACAGGGCCUUGGAAAGAGCAGGGUUGGAGUCAUCUGUGGAAGAAGCCGGGGGAUAGAUCUGUCCACAUGAAUAAAGGCUGUGAAGACACUUGUGUCCUAUGUACAUGGUCAUCAAAAGGUGAUGUCAGCUUGGGAGAAGUUCAGUAACCAAGUAGGUGGGUGAUGCGUUCUAUGAAUAGUCAGUCUCCUUACCAGCCAUUUCUCAUUACCCAACAGGCCCAUGACCAAAGAGGCCAUGGUAAGGGGGUUUCCCCUAAAUGUACAGCUAAGUGGUGGAGUCAGGCAAGCCUGGUGAGACUGCCCCCCUACACUGACAAGAGAGGGAUAGAAAGGAGAGGUGGGUCCCCACAAUUUUGUCAGGACCGAGAAAGUGAUUCCAGUGUCCCGAAGGAAGGCAAGUGGCUCAACUGAUAUGGGACAGAUUUUGGAGGACACCUUUGAAUUAAGAUGCUUUGGUCUGGAGGAGGAGGAGCCAUAUCUCAACUCCAGUGCUUUUAAUUGACGUGGGACAGCUUAAGACAGUGUAACGCCACUGGUAUCUAAAAGACGCCUGAAUUCCUUUGACCAAGCUGGUCAAGGUCUCAGAUCUGAAAAUGUCCUAUGCUUUACCUGUGGGAAACAUGGUCAUUUGACACAUAAUUGUGAACAAGGCAUCUCCAAGGCAAUGCAUUUUCUAAAUGUAAACUAGAAAGAAUGUUGUUGUGAAAAUACAAAAAAUAAAAAAAGUAUUGGUGUCUUUUA